rnacentral:misc_RNA from 1 species
UUAAGUUCAGCGGGUAUUCCUACCUGAUCCGAGGUCAACCUUGAUACGGGGGGGUUUCACGGCAAGGACCCGACGCGUGCCCUGAGCGAGGAUGUUUACUGCACUCGGUACGACGACGAGCCCGCCACUGGAUUUAGGGGUCUGCGGCAGCCGCAGGGCCCCAACGCAAGCCGGGGCUUGAUGGUUGAAAUGACGCUCGA